CUCUUAAUCAAGUAAUUUCACAAGGAAGGAACUUACUUUUUACUGGGUUAAUUUGACCAAAUCCCUUCAGUGACAUAGAUGUAUAUUAUUAUAUAUUAUGUCACAGGGCUUGACAUACAGGGCUGCCCACUGACCCAGGGAGAUUUAGGAAUCCCUCCAGGCCAGUCAAUCAUCCACAUCAGUGACCCAGUUGGACCGUAAUGCUGUUUUAAAUCUAGGCUUCAUAAUUGAUGAAAAAACAGAUGGCUUCCCAAAGCUGUUAGUUCGUUAUGCAGAUUAUUUAGUCUAUCACACACACACGCAGCACAGCCCGAGGGGAAUAGGCUAUCAUCUGGCAGGCAGCAAGAGAGUGCAACUCUUAACUGGUUGUCUGUUCACAAAAGCUCACAAAAGAACGACAGUGGUCGGGAAGGACAAGUUUGGAGUUCAUUUUGGUCAAGUUGAAUGGGAAGAACUUGGUAGAAGAUGGAAUAUCCAAGUCUCACUGUCACGUCUACUCCCGCUCCGCUCCUCCCCUCCGGUGUUCUACGUCGCAGGUCUGUGGUUCCUGGUCCCCCAUCGACUUGGGAAACGAAGAUCUGAUGGACCCCCUCGCAAUGUCAUCCUGCGCUUCACUAUGCGCCACCACAGGAACAUCAUCUGGAAAAUGGCCAAGGGCAACAAGUUUCUGGACGAGAAGAAGUUCCGCAUCAAAGAGGCUCUGAUACCGCAAGAUCGGACAGCCAAGGAGAAACUGUGGCUGCUUAUAUAGAAGGCACGACAAGAGGAAAGCAGGCUGGGUUCAAGGGCCCAAACGUCUUCUUCGAAGGAAGAAAGAUCACUUGAACUGUGAGUACUGCCAAGAGCACAUGUACUGUACUGCCAUGGGUAAAUUUACAGUUUGAAAUACAAUUUAUGAACACUUGCCAACUAAAAAAUGGAAAAAAGGGAUUUGUUAUCCUGUUAACCACCGCUACAUCAGCUGAGCAUUGUUGGGCAAUGUCAAGGUUCACUGUUUUGUUCACAUUACUACAUAUGUUAUCUAGUUUGUGUCUUUCUUUUUUUAAUGCAGGAGUUUGUAUUCAACUCACUCAAUAUCGUUAGUCCUGAAUGCUAGGGGUUUGAGAGAUCUUACGAAAAGAAAAGUCUUAUUUUUACAUUGUAAAUGCAGUAACUUUCACGCCCUGACCUUAGAGAGCCUUUUAAUGUCUAUUUGGUUUAGUCAGGGUGUGAUUUGGGGUGGGCAUUAUAUGUUCUGUUGUCUAUGUUUUUGUAUUUCUAUGGUUCUCAAUCAGGGACAGCUGUCUAUCGUUGUCUCUGAUUGGGAAUCAUACUUAGGCAGCCUUUUCCCCUUUUGUCAUUGUGGGAAGUUGACUUUUGUUAAUAGCACUAUAGCCCUGUAAGGUUCACGGUUGUUUCUUCCUUUGUUUUGUU